UACAUUUUGGAUCACAGCUUAUGAGAACAUUCCUUUUCUUUUAAUUCUUUUGAAGGAACUAGCACCUGAAUCAGACCAAGUUCAACAAACUGCCCAAGACACUGGAGAGAUUUUUACAUAUUCAGGUGCUUCACAGGAGGGCAGAAGUGCAGAAAAAGGGAAAGAAAAGGAAGAAAAGGAUAAGGAGAAGAGUAAAGACCAUGAAAAAGAGAAAUGGAAAGAAAAAAAUGCUGAUAAGAAAGGAGACACUAAAAAAGAGAAAUUAAAAAGUAUUGAAGGGACAAAUUUAGAUGCCUUAUUGCAAAGGCUUCCAGGUUGUGUGAGCCGUGAUCUUAUAGAUCAAUUGACAGUAGAUUUGUUACUUGAAUUCAAAAGCAAGUCGAAAAAAGCUUGUGAGGGCAUUGUUUAAUGUUCCAAGGACUUCAUUGGAACUGCUACCAUACUAUCCACGCAUGGUUGCCACAUUAUCAACAUGCAUGAAAGAUGUUUCUUCCAUGCUCCUACAAAUGAUAGAAGAGGAGUUUCAUUUCUUAAUUAAUAAAAAGGAUCAAAUGAACAUUGAAACAAAGAUUAGGAACAUUAGGUUUAUUGGAGAACUAUGCAAGUUUAAAAUCGCACCAGCUGGUCUUGUUUUUAGUUUGUUUGAAGGUAAUGUCCUAGUUGUUGUAUAUAUUUAUUUCUGGUAUAUUUGUU